UUUUAAUUUCCGGAUCUCCAGGCGUGAUACCUGCCAGCAGCGAGGAACCGAUAAUGGUCAGCCCAGUCUCUGAAACUAGAGUUGCCCCGAAGGAACCACUUUAUUCUAUAUAUUAAUCAUGUUUUAAUCAUCCUGUAAGGUUGGGAGCAGAGGGUGAUGAGUGGUGGUGACGCUGAUUGUGCGUGAAACAGGUGCGUCAAUCACGUGAAGAGGUCAAACGCAGGGGGAACAUUCAGAAACUCCACGGUGACUUUUUGGACAACAUCCGCGUCCAGAACCAGUUUACCGACCUCAAGAAAGUUGUGGAGAAGUUGAAAGACUUAUUCAGAGAAAAACAAACGGCGGCCUUCUCUGGCUUCACACAGGAACCUGAAAGCUUCCAACUGAACUGUGAUGUUCGCUAUGACUAUUGUGUAGGAAACAUAAACCCUGCUGACCCGCUCGCUUUGGAUGCGUCAACUUUACGCAUUUUUUACGCACGGAAUCUGUGGACUGUGUGGACAUCUUCAGCUCUUCGUGGCUGCCAAGAAGGACUUUUUUAUCUGCAGCUGGGCCGCUGAACUCUGUACAAGGAAACAAAGGACAAUGGACUUGGAAUAAGAAGCCGCUUCGUACAUGCUGAGAGCCUUAGCAGAGCUCAGCUGACGCCCACAGACUGCUGGCAUCCUGCAUGAAAACGGAGAGGAGGAGGAGGAAGAAGAAGGAAGCGCUCCAGAAAGGAGGAAACUUCACCGGGAAGAGUCACAGGAUGAAGCCCAGAUGCCUCCUCUCCAGCGUGGACAGACUUCCCACCAUCAGUGAGCUGCAGGAGAGCGACGUGGAGGACGGAGAGCCCGACUGCUCCUCACAUACCAUGGAGGAGUACGUGGACUCCAUCAAGGAGCUCUCCCAGCCGGCCCUCUACCCGCUGCACGGGCCCCUCAGGGGUCACCGCCGCUGGACGCUGCGCUCGUGCACCACCGUCACACCUGGAUUUUUAAAUUCCCCGCGGACCUCUGUGGACCUAUCGGAUGUGUCGCUGACAUUAACUGAGCAUGCGAACUGUGACACGCCAUCACGGUUUAGGCAAAACCUGCUGGACAUGCUGGUGGCCCAGUCUCCGUUUGCAGGCCUGGUGUGAGCCUCGGCGAGGGUCUGCUCCCGGCCUGGUCGUCCCUACAGCUCAACGUUUCAUGGCUCAUUUAUGUGAGAAGAAACGGAGCUCUGCGCAAGUGAUGCGGUUCCCUUUGAAGUGCUAAAUGAAGGCAACACAUGAAACAAAAGAUGAAAAGAGAAGAAUAUCAAGGGCAGAACAAACAAAUGAGCCGAGACCGCCUGAGGAGUGAGCGAGCUAUGCGGCUGCAAAGGGCCCCUCGGCCACCAGGGGGCCCUCGAAGAAACAAACUGGAUUUCUCUGGGAUUAAAAUCUCGAUUAAAUUCUUAAAUCCAAUAAAUAAUGACUAAAUAUUUGGGCCCCCGGACAUUAAUUCAAAACAUAAACUCUCCUUCAACUAUAUAUCAUAAUUUAAAUACUUAAAGAUACAGUCCCUUAUUUUUGCUAUCAGACUCCUAUGAGGGCCCCAAACUAAGGAUGAUUUCAAUGCCUAAAUAAAACAAACAAAAAAUAAGUAGUUGUCCAGGGGCCUCGGCCUCCAGGGGCCCACUGACAUGAACUGAAAAUGUGAAAUCUCUUUAAGUUCUGGGUUCUAAUAUAAAUAUCCAAAGACACAACCCAAGACUUUUAUUUCUGGUUUCUGGAAUAAAUUCUCAAACAUAAACUCCCAGAUUUUUGUCAUCAGACUCUUCUUAGGACUUCAAACAAAGAAUAAUUUAAAAUGCCCAAAUAAAAACAAGUCAAAACUAGUUUGUUAUGGGCCCCUCAGCUGCCAGGGGCCCACUGAAAAGAAGUGAAAAUGUGAGCUCUAUUUAGAUUCUAAUUUUAGCAAGUUUUCCUUCAAGACGUGUGUUUUAAGCUCUUCUGUAGGAGUUUUAAAAUGGCAAAUUAAUAACGAAGUAAACACCUCGGGCCCCUUUGACGUGAACAGAUAAUGUGAACUCACUUUGGACUAAACAUUCAUUGAUACUUGAUGUCUUUGUUUUAUUAUAAAUCUAGCAUAAAAACGAGUUUGUUAUGACAAUAAAAAGCACUUUAAAUGUUUUUGCACUGCAUUCUUGUUGAUACGGUUUAGUGUCCACAGUUGUUUUGUGUAUUUCAAAGAUCUUUUACUGAAUUUUGAAUAAAACUAUUGUGAGAAUAUGAAGAUAAAACGUCUCCAGUUUGCAUGUGAACAUCCCGUCCGACGCCGCCGUCCUUCCUGAUCCUAUGAAGCUGCGAUUCACGUUCAACUGCCUACUUUUAGUUUCUUUUUCUCUCAAGUUCUGCGACCAUGAGAAAAGUGUCUCCAGCUGGGUCUUGGCAGGAAUCGCCUGACUUACGUCCAACAAACAUGUGGUGAAAGAGUCGGAGAGCAGACCCCCCCGGAGACAUUUCCACAGAACAAGCCAGAGUUUUAUUCUGACCCCUUACACAUUGUGCAACACUGCAUAUGUUGAGCACAUCGAGCAGGAACAUGCAGGAUCCCUCAGGAAGGUGGCUGCAUGUCAUAAUGUUCCACAGCAAUAACUGGAACUAUUAGGAAGUUAAUGAUAUGCAGAUAACAAAAGACUUUUGAGCUAUAACUUAUCAUAUAUUGCAACAUUUAUGCACGUAAUGUGGGAUUCCUUUUAAAUCCAACGCGAUGCCGAGGUGCAGACAUCAUCUCUUCUCCAAAGCUCAUUAAAUGAAAGCAGGAGUGAGUUACUGUGAGUGGUAUGAUACACCGCAGUGUGUCAGAGGACUGUCAUAACCCUGAUUUUCUGCAGAGUUCGGCUGUAAUAUCCCAAAAUAUCCCCGCCUGAUGUGUAAACACACUGAAGUGUGGCUUUAAAUAUGAAAUACAGUUGAAGAAAGCCGUGGAAAAGUAGAGCUGUGUGUCACUGCAGGAGCUCUGAGUGGAGGUGAGGCCAUCAGGAGGAUCUUAAAUCGUCAUCCUGAAAUACAACAAUAACGGAACAUAAAGACAAUUUUGGGAUUACGGCUGUGAGCUGCCAGCCUCCGGUCGAGACAUGAGCUGCAGCCACAGAGGAAUAACUGGAAAUGUCAGCUUUUAGAGCGGAUGGAUUGUCAUAACCCCUGAAAAACAGUCAUGCUACGUUUGCUUUGCAUGAUGUUGUCAUUUCACAGGAUACAGAGCUGCACUGUUCGGCUUCGUCUCAGCAUGACCGCCGAGCUGACGGUGCUGAGGUUUUUUUUGGGGGUUUAAUUGCAGUUUGGUAUGUUUGAUGCAGAGCUCAGCAAUCAAUCGAUUUGAAAUCACAGCUUCAGACAGUGCAGUUAGCAAAUGGCAGAGGUUGCAAUUUAGGAUGUGCAUGUCCCAGCACGUCUGAAACACUUUAAACUGUUGUGUGACAGUUAAACUUUUGUAGUAAUGCUUCAACACGUUUUAUCUCGGAUGUACAUUGAAUGCUGAAGUAUGGUUUCAACAAAAAUAAAAAUCAAACUGCAAUAUCCAUCCGGUUCUGCAGU
ensembl:lncRNA